rnacentral:rRNA from 1 species
CUACGGGGAGCUGCAGUGGGGGAUAUUGCACAAUGGGCGAAAGCCUGAUGCAGCAACGCCGCGUGAGGGAAGACGGUUUUCGGAUUGUAAACCUCUGUCCUUGGUGACGAAACAAAUGACGGUAGCCAAGGAGGAAGCCACGGCUAACUACGUGCCAGCAGCCGCGGUAAUACGUAGGUGGCGAGCGUUGUCCGGAAUUACUGGGUGUAAAGGGAGCGCAGGCGGGUCAGCAAGUUGGAUGUGAAAUGCCGCAGCUUAACUGCGGAGCUGCAUCCAAAACUGUUGAUCUUGAGUGGAGUAGAGGCAAGCGGAAUUCCGAGUGUAGCGGUGAAAUGCGUAGAUAUUCGGAGGAACACCAGUGGCGAAGGCGGCUUGCUGGGCUCUAACUGACGCUGAGGCUCGAAAGUGUGGGGAGCAAACAGGAUUAGAUACCCGUGUAGUC